AACGAACGCUGGCGGCAUGCCUAACACAUGCAAGUCGAACGAGACCUUCGGGUCUAGUGGCGCACGGGUGCGUAACGCGUGGGAACCUGCCCUUAGGUUCGGAAUAACUCCCCGAAAGGGGUGCUAAUACCGGAUAAUGUCUUCGGACCAAAGAUUUAUCGCCUUUGGAUGGGCCCGCGUUGGAUUAGCUAGUUGGUAGGGUAAAAGCCUACCAAGGCGACGAUCCAUAGCUGGUCUGAGAGGAUGAUCAGCCACACUGGGACUGAGACACGGCCCAGACUCCUACGGGAGGCAGCAGUGGGGAAUAGUGGACAAUGGGCGAAAGCCAGAUCCAGCAAUGCCGCGUGAGUGAUGAAGGCCUUAGGGUUGUAAAGCUCUUUUACCCGGGAUGAUAAUGACAGUACCGGGAGAAUAAGCUCCGGCUAACUCCGUG
rnacentral:rRNA from 1 species